rnacentral:rRNA from 1 species
UACGUAGGGGCUAGCGUUAUCCGGAAUUACUGGGCGUAAAGGGUGCGUAGGUGGUUUCUUAAGUCAGAGGUGAAAGGCUACGGCUCAACUGUAGUAAGCCUUUGAAACUGGGAAACUUGAGUGCAGGAGAGGAGAGUGGAAUUCCUAGUGUAGCGGUGAAAUGCGUAGAUAUCACGAGGAACUCCGAUUGCGCAGGCAGCUUACUAAACCAUAACAGACGCUCAGGCACGAAGGCGUGGGGAUCAAACAGGAUUAGAUACCCGGGUAGUCCCUGA